rnacentral:ncRNA from 2 species
CAACUAAAUCUUUUGUUUGCAGAUAUAUCGCUGGGGAAUGGCCAGCAGUUUCUACCACGCCCCAAAAGUCGUGACUAUCCGCAAAUGUGAACCGAUA